rnacentral:rRNA from 1 species
ACACUCCUACGGGAGGCAGCAGUGGGGAAUAUUGCACAAUGGGCGCAAGCCUGAUGCAGCCAUGCCGCGUGUAUGAAGAAGGCCUUCGGGUUGUAAAGUACUUUCAGCGGGGAGGAAGGCGAUAAGGUUAAUAACCUUGUUGAUUGACGUUACCCGCAGAAGAAGCACCGGCUAACUCCGUGCCAGCAGCCGCGGUAAUACGGAGGGUGCAAGCGUUAAUCGGAAUUACUGGGCGUAAAGCGCACGCAGGCGGUCUGUCAAGUCGGAUGUGAAAUCCCCGGGCUCAACCUGGGAACUGCAUUCGAAACUGGCAGGCUAGAGUCUUGUAGAGGGGGGUAGAAUUCCAGGUGUAGCGGUGAAAUGCGUAGAGAUCUGGAGGAAUACCGGUGGCGAAGGCGGCCCCCUGGACAAAGACUGACGCUCAGGUGCGAAAGCGUGGGGAGCAAACAGGAUUAGAAACCCUAGUAGUCCC